rnacentral:rRNA from 1 species
UACAGAGGGUGCGAGCGUUGUCCGGAAUCACUGGGCGUAAAGGGCGCGUAGGUGGUGGCUUAAGCGUGCGGUGAAAGCUCGGAGCUCAACUCCGAGUCGGCCGUGCGAACUGGGCUCACUGGAGCAUAGUAGAGGCAGGUGGAAUUCCGGGUGUAGCGGUGGAAUGCGUAGAGAUCCGGAAGAACACCGGUGGCGAAGGCGGCCUGCUGGGCUAUGGCUGACACUGAGACGCGAAAGCGUGGGGAGCAAACAGG